rnacentral:rRNA from 1 species
UACAGAGGGUGCAAGCGUUGUUCGGAAUUACUGGGCGUAAAGGGCGCGUAGGCGGCCUGCUAAGUCGGACGUGAAAUCCCUCGGCUCAACUGAGGAACUGCACAGGAAACUGCUUGGCUUGAGUUCGGGAGAGGGAAGCGGAAUUCCGGGUGUAGCGGUGAAAUGCGUAGAUAUCCGGAGGAACACCGGUGGCGAAGGCGGCUUCCUGGACCGACACUGACGCUGAGGCGCGAAAGCUAGGGGAGCAAACGGG